AUAUUAAUAGUAUAAAUUAAUUACAUUAACUUUUCAUGUUAAAAAUAUUUUUAAUUUAAUAU
rnacentral:tRNA from 1 species